GUACACUGAAAAAAGUGCACAACGCAUGUCAUUACUCUAAAGAAGUUUUUAUAUUUGAUCUAACUCAAAAAAAUACAUUUUCUGUCCAGCCAUCAGUUUUAUGUAAAAAAUGUGUUUGAUUUAAAUUAAAAGUAAGUCCUGUUGGUGUAAAGUAAAUAAAUUUCUGUAAAUUAAAGUAAAAAUAUUAGUUUCCAUUGUCACGUGACUUACGUAACGUCAUCCUGGUCGUGCGUGAGGACGUUCAGCUGAAGUUCAGCUUUCCGCCAUCUUGUUAUACACUGCACCGAUGGAUGAACUCCGCGUCGUACAAUGGGAUUCAAGAAAAUUGGCCAAUCAUAUCCCAUCCCUGGAGAGACAUCAGCAAACAUUAUGACAAAGACGUUUGCCUUACGCAGACAAGAGAUUGUGGAAAACCAACCUACUGUUCAAGAACUGCAAGAAAGAUUGCCAGAGGAGAUUAAUGCAGAAUUGCGCAUCACGAUCUUACCUUGAAAAUCAAGAUUUAUGGCCUCUUUGGACAGACAGAGCUCUCAUGUUAUUAGGAGCAAAGGUGGAGUCCUCCAUGAAAAACUAAGGACACUAUUAAAGUUAUGGAUCAGAGUCUGGACGUAGAAAUCAGAAGAGAAAGCCUGCUGAAGUGCCUGAUUCAUGUACUAUUCAUGUGAAGAUGCAAGCUGUCUGAUCAAAGAAUACCAGGCUGACAAGAGGGAAGAAGCGGAGAGGGAAUUCAAAAAGACCACCAUGGAAUUUUUUGUGAUCCGUGAAAGUGAUGCUCCUAAUCCUGCACUGGACAUUUUCAUUGAUGGUGUGGAGUAAUAAAAAAUGAGUUGCCCUCUGUUGCAUGUGCAUGUUUGGACUCAUUUGAACUGAACUUAAAAUAUCCUGAUGGACUCAAAUAUACCUUUAAAGCCUUUAAAAAAAAUGUCAUGGACGUAGACAGUAAGCAGAUGAGCCGAAGGGUGCAGAACCCCUCUUCAAAACUGCAGGAGUAAAUUUGUUUCCUUUGACCCAGCUACUGAAGGUACAUUUUUGAGCCUUUUAUACAACAUUAACUGUAAUACUGUUUACUAAACCUGAUUUGUUUUAUCUUGAUUAAGUUUUAUGGUUUAUCUAUCAACCAUAACUGACUCUUAUUUAGAAUUUACAUUUUAUCCAGUGUGUCUACAAAUACUAAAAACUGUUAUACAGUAUGUGUUUUUAUAACAAUACUAUACAUAUUGUUGAAAUGUUUUAUGACAAAUUGUCAAGAUUAUAAUGUGUUGACAUUGUUAGACAGUGUGUAUUUGUACAAAAAAUGUA